rnacentral:rRNA from 1 species
GACGAACGCUGGCGGCGUGCUUAACACAUGCAAGUCGAACGGAAAGGCCCUGCUCGCAGGGUACUCGAGUGGCGAACGGGUGAGUAACACGUGGGUGAUCUGCCCUGCACUUCGGGAUAAGCCUGGGAAACUGGGUCUAAUACCGGAUAGGAGCCAUUUUUAGUGUGAUGGUUGGAAAGUUUUUUCGGUGUAGGAUGAGCUCGCGGCCUAUCAGCUUGUUGGUGGGGUAAUGGCCUACCAAGGCGGCGACGGGUAGCCGGCCUGAGAGGGUGGACGGCCACAUGGGGACUGAGAUACGGCACAGACGCCUACGGGAGGCAGCAGUGGGGAAUAUUGCAGAAUGGGCGCAAGCCUGAUGCAGCGACGCCGCGUGGGUGAUGACGGCCUUCGGGUUGUAAACUCCUUUCGCUAGGGACGAAGCUUUUUGUGACGGUACCUAGAUAAGAAGCACCGGCUAACUACGUG